GCAGGAUUAGUUUAUCGGUAGAACAGGAGUCUUCCAAACUUCAGAGGCGGGUUCAACUCCCGUAUCCUGCUCCA
rnacentral:tRNA from 1 species